rnacentral:rRNA from 1 species
GGGUCUAUUGAAUUGGAGGGUGUGCUGUUCAGCGCUUUUUUGCGUGUACUCGGUACAUUUUCUUUACCCGUCGUGUGUUUCAUAUGGCUGAUUUUGGGCCGUAUGGGACUGUGGGAUCCCCUUUCAUAGGGUGAGGACGAUGGGGCGCUGACACGAUACGACCCGUCUUGAAACACGGACCAAGGAGUCCAGCCUAUCUGCGAGUCAAAGGGUGAUUAAACCUGUGGGCGCAGUGAAAGCAACAUUUUUGUUUGGAAACGAACUAAUUGCAGUUUUAUGGCGGCAUACGAUCGUUGAUUGUAGGUCCGACCUAGAGCAGAUAUGCUGGGACCCGAAAGAUGGUGAACUAUGCCGGAGUAGGGCGAAGCCAGAGGAAACUCUGGUGGAGGCUCGUAGCGGUGCUGACGUGCAAAUCGCUCGUCUGACUCGGGUAUAGGGGCGAAAGACUAAUCGAACCAUCUAGUAGCUGGUUUCCUCCGAAGUUUCUCUCAGGAUAGCAGGCCGACGAGUAAGUUGUUGUGUGCGGUAAAGCUAAUGAUUAGCGUAUUUGGGGGCGAAUAGCCUCCAGUCGAUUCUCAAACUUUAAAUGCGCACGGAUGUUGCCGCUUGGGUGGGCGGUAUCUCCAAAAACGUCGGCCUUGUGGGCCACUUUUGGUAAGCAGAACUGGCGAUACGGGAUGAACCGUAAGCGUGGUUAAGGCGCCUAAUUGUUCGCUCAUAGACCCCAAAAAAGGCGUUGAUUCAUAUAGACAGCAGGACGGUGGCCAUGGAAGUCGGAAUCCGCUAAGGAGUGUGUAAAAACUCACCUGCCGAAUGAAUUAGCCCUGAAAAUGGAUGGCGCUUAAGCGUGCAGCCGACACCACGCCGUCUGGACAAAGUGGCAAUCAGAUGAGUAGGAGGACGUGGCGGUCGUAUAGAAGCGUAUGUGCGAAUGUGCGUGGAACGGCCGCUAGUGCAGAUCUUGGUGGUAGUAGCAAAUAUUCAAAUGAGAACCUUGAAGGGUUAAGCGGGGAAGGGUUCCACGCGAACAUUGAUUGAACGUGGGUGAGUCGUUCCUAAGCCGAGUGGCAAUUGCUAAUUAUACGGCGAAAGGGAAGCAGGUUGAUAUUCCUGCACACGGAUGUGGAUGCGGUGACGCACGUCUGAGGCGAUGACGUCGGCGAUAGCUCUGGGCAGAGUUUUCUUUUCUGUUUAACCGAACCACGCGCGCUGUGUGGAAUCCGCUUGUCGGGAGAAACACGCGCGUUUGGGCAAAGCGCCGGGAUUUUUCCGGCGUCCAGACCGCUAUCGACGGCCCUUGAAAAAUCGUCUGCUGGCCAGA